GAUGAACGCUGGCGGCGUGCCUAAUACAUGCCAGUCGAGCGAACAGACGAGGAGCUUGCUCCUCUGACGUUAGCGGCGGACGGGUGAGUAACACGUGGAUAACCUACCUAUAAGACUGGGAUAACUUCGGGAAACCGGAGCUAAUACCGGAUAAUAUAUUGAACCGCAUGGUUCAAUAGUGAAAGACGGUUUUGCUGUCACUUAUAGAUGGAUCCGCGCCGCAUUAGCUAGUUGGUAAGGUAACAGCUUACCAAGGCAACGAUGCGUAGCCGACCGGCGAGGGUGAUCGGCCGCACUGGAACUGGGCCACGGUCCAGACUCCUGCGGGAGGCAGCAGUAGGGAAUCUGCCGCAAUGGUCGAGAGCCUGACGCAGCAACGCCGCGUGAGUGAUGAAGGUCUUCCGAUCGUAAAGCUCUGUUAUUAGGGAAGAACAAAUGUGUAAGUAACUAUGCACGUCUUGACGGUACCGAAUCAGAAAGCCACGGCUAACUACGUG
rnacentral:rRNA from 1 species